rnacentral:lncRNA from 10 species
GUUUGUAAUUUAAAUUUGUGCACAUGGCUCUCUCUUUCACGUUUAUUGCCAAGGCAAAGCCUUUCUGUACCUUUCAGGAGUAUGGUAGAACAUUUUUGUGAGUGAAAGAAUGAAGAUAAGAAUGUGUUCUUGAAGAGUCAUUGCUUUAACUUGCCAAAGAAGCUGCUUAUUUCACAGAAGGAUGGUGCUGGCUGAAAGAUACUUCCUUGAAACUGAGAGAUUGCUUCCUUAGACAGGUCUCCUUGAAGAGAAUCCCACUCUGUCAGCCCGGCUGGAGUGCAAUGGCGCAGUCUUGGCUCGCUGCAACAUCUACCUCCCAGGUUCAAGUGAUUCUCCUGCCUCAGCCUCCCAAGUAGCUAGGAUUACAGGCUUGCACCACCACACCUGGCUAACUUUUUGUGUUUUUAGUAGAGACGGGCUUUCCCUAUGUUGGCCAGACUGGUCUCAAACUACUGGCCUCAAGUGAUUUACCCACCUUGGCCUCCCAAAUUUCUGGGAUUACAGGCAUGAGCCACCGAGCGCAGUCCUGACUCUGCUCUUGGGAUACCUGAGAGUACUGUGUUAUAUGAAUAUCUGAUCUACCUAUGGAUUCAGCCGACCUAAAGUUGUUGAAUUCUUAAGCCACCACCCCCUUCUCACCAGCACAAGAUUUACUUUCAGAUCAUCAGUGCGUUAAUUGAACAAAUGGCAAAGAUCUUGCCAAAAUCUGAGAAGAUGUCCUCUGACGUUGCGCUUCUUGCCGCUGCCAUGAGAAGAAGGAUGUUUGCUUCCCCCUCUGCCAUGAUUGUUAAGUUUCCUGAGGCCUCCUGAGCCAUGCUGAACUGUGAGUCAAUUAAACCAUUUUCCUUUAUAAAUUACCCAGUCCUGGGUAUAUCUUUAUUAGCAGUGUGAGAAGGGACUAAUAAGGAACCUGCAGUGGAC